rnacentral:misc_RNA from 1 species
GAUGAAGAACGUAGUGAAAUGCGAUAAGUAAUGUGAAUUGCAGAAUUCAGUGAAUCAUCGAAUCUUUGAACGCACAUUGCGCCCUCUGGUAUUCCGGGGGGCAUGCCUGUUCGAGCGUCAUUACAACCCUCAAGCUUUGCUUGGUAUUGGACAUUGCCAGUUUCUGGCAGGUCUUAAAAUCAGUGGCGGUGCCAUUUGGCUUCAAGCGUAGUAAUUCUUCUCGCUUUGGAGAUCCAAGUGGUUACUUGCCAAUAACCCCCAAUUUUUUCAGGUUGACCUCGGAUCAGGUAGGGAUACCCGCUGAACUUAAGCAUAUCAAUAAGCGGAGGA